GUUCUUCGUUUCUUCAUUCGGCCAACAAGAAUGUCUUGAGUGUGUGCCGAGCACAGGAGCUUGUGCAAGGAGGGCAGACAAAUGAGACUGAUGCUGCCCUCCAGGAAGCAGACAGAUAGACCUGGGCAACUCCUUGCCCUGGUUCCUCCUUCUGCCCCUCCUGUUCCAAGCUGGAAGGCAAAGCCAAGUCCAGCUCAUCAGAGGAUCUUUUCUCAGGGUACUUCCUGGUUUUCCUGCUCUGGCAUGCUCAGAAUCCCAGCUGUGGAAAACAUGAACUUCCUAGGGGUGGAAGACACUCAGGCUCCCACUUUUUGUUCUCUGCAAGGGUGUGUAUGGCCAUUCAUGGACCCUGACUGCUGACAAGUUUCUGGCUCUGUCAAGGCUACUGGCCACAGACUUAGAAGGCUUUGCAUCUUGUCCUACUGGAUCCAAGCCUUAAGCUUUGCUGGGAAUCUGAACCUGCCACAUCCAGUCCAAGGACUGUGCAGGAAAUACAGGACCAGGUGUUAAGAAACUGUCAGCUUCCACUUCCUGUCUUUUGGGAUAUUUGCUUUUGGAACUCAGCCACCAUGCUGGGAGGAAGCCAAGCAGCCACAUGGAGAGGUCACACGUAGGUGACCCGACCAACAGUUGCGACUGAGGUGCCAGCCGACAGCCACCACCAACCACCAGACAGGUUGGCUGUGGCUUGUCUCCACAUCGUUUUCACUCUGGGAUCCAGGCUGAUGGAGUAGCCUCGAGGCAUCUGUAACUUUGCCAGUCUUGUGGCAGAGGGAAAAGAGAAUAUGGUGAAGCAUGUUAUGGGUUUUCAAACUUCUACAUUUUUUUGGCCAAAGCAAGACUAAUUUCAAAAGAGGCCAGGAAGUGCAAUCUUCUCAGGUGCCUGGAAAGAGGAGAUCUGGAAUAUUCGUGAAUUCUUUUAUGACCGAUAGGCACUGUUUGCUCAUAGAGUAGAGGAGGUAGUAGGAACAACGGACACUUCGUGGAAGGCUGAUCUGGUCGUGGAGGAAGGACUUGGUCAAUGUGAAGAGCCUCAGGAAAAACAGUUUAGAGGGAGGGAACACCAGCUAGAGGCAGGACAAGUCACGGCAAAAUCCACAAACCUACUUGCCAUUGCUCCUUAGUUCCCCUGGUGUUUCUGGCUUCUCAGAAAGCCAACUGUUCUGGGAAAGUUUGUUCGAAGCACAAGAUUCAUAGAGAGAAGCAGCAGCAUAUAAGGAUGGAAAGGUCAACUAGAGCCAGAGAAUGGGCGGUUUUGAAUGCCAUGCUGAGAUAUUUGGCAACAUAAACCACAGACAAAAAUGCUACGCAGCCGAGCAGACUCUUCCAUUUCCAGAGUUCUGCUGGCUGGACGUAUUGACCACUGCCCUCACAGAGCUGUGAACAGGAGCAAAUGAGCAAAGGAUCCUCAUUUCCAAGAAAAAUAUGCGAUAAGUUGUCUGGGCUGGUGAAAGAGGACAGGGAUGCAGUCUCCCCUCCAGAUCACACAGGUCCCCAAUCUGCCCCUGAGCCCUUGGCCCUGCUUGCUCAGCAGACGUCAGCUCGGAUAGAGCCAGUGUCCCCAGCACUGGAUACUGAUGGCUCCAUGAAGGCUGCGACCUGAGAGAACAGAAGGCCUCAUCCUACAUGGCCCAUUAAUGCCACCGCAGAGGGGCUGAACGUCAGCCAGGCUGUAGGAUACCAAACAUCUGGAUCCUGAGGACGCUUCAAGGGCCGCUGCUGGAGGGCAAGUGUCAGGACUUGGGGAAAAGGACACUACAGCCCUGUCAAUGACCCAAGACUUUGCCUAGCACUCACACCAAACUGCUCCUGAAACAAAGUGGCUUAGAGGGGAGAUUUUCCAAUAUUACGCGCUGAGGAGGAAGCCUGGCAGAGUGGCCCUGGGCAGAACGUAAAUUAUGUGGGAGGCAGCUGAAAUGGAGGCAUUUGGCCUACUCUUGGAAUGUCUCUAAACCAUUAGUUGUGGAGUUUGCACAAGCUCCUCAAGUAUCUUCGGUAUCUUGCGCAUGCCUCCACGAGUCAAACAGAGUGUGCAUAAGAGAGCGAAGUCAGUCUUCAGGAGAGCUCUCAUCAGCUAAAGAAUCGCAGUAGGACCCACUUCCGUCCACUCUUUCCCGGCAGAACCUGGCCAGGUCCAGAAGAGUCGGGCAUACACAGCUAGCGCCCCACGGAAGAAGGGCUUCACUGGCAAAAACAACACCCUGAUGACUUCCAGCUCUUCCCCUCCUUUGCCCUGAACAUGGAAAAGAUGGCCUCCACUCUCAGAUGUGUCAGCUGAGGAAAGAGGAGCACAGGGGCUGGCUUUAGGGCGGUCACUUACUCCCUUGCCCUUUUGAGGAGCAGUCACAGAGUCACCACAAAGCUCCGCCAGGCCCAGGAGCCCCUCAGGGGAGGCAGGAAGACCAUUGUUUGAAAAGAAGGUUCUGGGAAGGCCAGCCUCAACCCAAAGGGUUGGAUUUAAUGGGAAGACAUCGAACCAGUUUUGAAGAUUGGGAUUCUUUCCCGACCCUCUCUCUCAAAACUGCAUGAACAAGCCUCCUCAUAGCAAGGGUACAUGUUCUUGUAUAGAUAACCUGUGCUGAGCUUUAAAAUCGUGACUAUAAGAGACUUCCCUCUACUGGGGUGGGUGUCAGACUAAACCAGUGAGAAGGGAUUGUGCGUAGGGCACAGGGUAUGUCCAUCCCUCAGGUUCCAAAGACAAGCUGCUGAGGAUCAGACUGACGGGGCAAAGAGAACAGCUGCUGUUCCCUUUAAGGAACAGCAUUUGGGUCAAAGAGGCUGAUGUUGAAAGCCCAGUGGAAGGACAAGGUGAAUGACUAAAGACAGUCUAAAUACUACAUCACCCUCCACAAGCUUGGCAUUGAUGCGGCUGCCAUCUUAGGCCUUGGGUCUCUUGUUGAAAAUGUCCUAGGUUCUAGGGGGGAAAGAAGUUGAACUCUUUCCAAGGGCAGAGAAGAAUGUUACUACCACCAGCCUUGUGCCUAAACUCCAGACAAGCCCAUGGAGCACAGAGGAAUGGGCCAAGGGUGAGAGCAGGACUCUAAGGACACAGGGCCAAAGAGCCCUUCCUGAUGGCGGAGUGUCUAUGAGGCAGUGAAUGCAGGAAGAACCUUGGGGUCAAUUAGGAGCACACAGAGAGCCAAGCCAGAGCUACAGGACUGCCCAGUCCACCUUCCAUGGAUUCUCAGAGAGCAAAUGAAGACGGGGCUCAAGGUGCUGAAACAGGAUGAGAUAGAUAAAAAAAGGCAGUAGAGGAGGGGAAAUUCAGCUUCUUGAAAUCCUCAAGGUUCAGGCCUGUGUCCUUCACUUUGCCCAGGGCCCAACCACUUGCCCAACAGGUGAAACUGUUGCAUUAAGCUCACCUGCGGUUGUAGAGGAGAAACAAUGGCAUCUUGAGCUCCC